AGUGGCGAACGGGUGAGUAACGCGUGAGCAACCUGCCUUUCAGUGGGGGACAACAGUUGGAAACGACUGCUAAUACCGCAUAAUGUAUUGAGAUCGCAUGAUUUUGAUACCAAAGAUUUAUUGCUGAAAGAUGGGCUCGCGUCUGAUUAGCUAGAUGGCGGGGUAACGGCCCACCAUGGCGACGAUCAGUAGCCGGUCUGAGAGGAUGAACGGCCAUAUUGGGACUGAGAUACGGCCCAGACUCCUACGGGAGGCAGCAGUGGGGAAUAUUGGGCAAUGGGGGAAACCCUGACCCAGCAACGCCGCGUGAAGGAAGAAGGCCUUCGGGUUGUAAACUUCUUUUACCAGGGACGAAGGACGUGACGGUACCUGGAGAAAAAGCAACGGCUAACUACGUGCCAGCAGCCGCGGUAAUACGUAGGUUGCAAGCGUUGUCCGGAUUUACUGGGUGUAAAGGGCGUGUAGGCGGAGGAGCAAGUCAGAUGUGAAAUCCCGGGGCUUAACCCCGGAACUGCAUUUGAAACUGCUCCCCUUGAGUAUCGGAGAGGCAAGCGGAAUUCCUAGUGUAGCGGUGAAAUGCGUAGAUAUUAGGAGGAACACCAGUGGCGAAGGCGGCCUGCUGGACGACAACUGACGCUGAGGCGCGAAAGCGUGGGGAGCAAACAGGAUUAGAUACCCUGGUAGUCCACGCUGUAAACGAUGAAUACUAGGUGU
rnacentral:rRNA from 1 species